rnacentral:rRNA from 1 species
UACGUAGGUGGCAAGCGUUGUCCGGAGUUAUUGGGCGUAAAGCGCGCGCAGGCGGUUGGAUAAGUCCAUGGUGAAAGCGCCUGGCUCAACUAGGCGAGUGCCGUGGGGACUGUUUAGCUGGAGUGGAGCAGAGGCGAGUGGAAUUCCGGGUGUAGUGGUGAAAUGCGUAGAGAUCCGGAGGAACACCAGAGGCGAAGGCGGCUCGCUGGGCUUUGACUGACGCUGAGGCGCGAAAGCGUGGGGAGCGAACCGG